UACAGAGGUCUCAAGCGUUAAUCGGAAUUACUGGGCUUAAAGGGUCCGCAGGCGGUACCAGCGAAGUACCUUGUGAAAUCUCAGGUCUCAACCCUGAGUCUGCUAGGUAGACUGCUGGUCUUGAGUGCAAAAGGGGUCGCUGGAACUCUAGGUGGAGCGGUGAAAUGCGUAGAUAUCUAAGAGGAACGCCAAAGGUGAAGACAGGCGACUGGUUUGCAACUGACGCUCAUGGACGAAAGGCGUGGGGAUCAAACGGG
rnacentral:rRNA from 1 species